CGGAGAGUAAUUUCAUGUU
rnacentral:miRNA from 1 species